CCUACUUGUUACAAAUUGUUUUGGGCUAUCGACACAGCCUUAUACAAUUGAACAAUGAUAAAAAUAUUUUAACAAAGCAACAAUGACAACUUUCAAAAUAAUAUUAUUUUUUGUUUUGUGUUUUUUUUUAUAAUUUUGUUGUCAAUUCAAAUAAAAUCAACACAUUUUGCGAUUCAUUUUUAUAUUAUAGAAGAUAUAAGUAAAACAUAGCGAUAAUACUACCAAAAGAGCUCAAAAAUGUGAAAAGCAAACAUAUGAUAACAAUGCUUCUAGCAUGCGAUAACAAUUCUUACAUUAUACGUUAUUGUAGUCAUAAAAUAGUAAAAAUUGCAGGAAGAAGAAAAACCGAUGGUUUCAUCACGGCAUCCUCUCCGAAUAUAGUACAAAUAUAGGUCAGAAGAACAAUUAUUGAAUAUUGCAACAACAACAGAUGCAUAUGAAAGGAAAAACCGAUAGACACAUCGAAUCACUGUCAUUGCCGACAAAACAUUCGCCUUGGAGAGUUGGAUGUGGAAGUCCACUCCGAAGCCCAUGACUUAGUUAACAAUCAAAAACUCGUUAAUUGUUUGUACAAAGAUGUGCAUAUUUACUACUUGGAGCACUCUCAUAAUAAUCACAAUCAGAUGUUGAAUUAUUGCCUUUCUUGUACAUAUAAGUAUCCAAUACAUUGGUGUUUGAGUAAUUACAAGUAACAUGUAUGCAAUACGCGGAUUUACCACAGUUUUGACAUAGCGCCAAACUACACCCAACAAAAGGUGCACGUUAGUUUGCAAUUGCGGAGAAGUGGCCGAUCUUGACCCAGUCCGCGGUACUGAAAUUCGUUUAAAAAUUUAUUACAUAGUUAAUUUUGAAACUGGUUUUAAUUAGUUUUAAGAUUUUAUAACUUAUUUUUAGGCUUUAAAGAGUAGAUACAGUAAAUAAAUGAAUAUUGCAAAAAAAGCGCUCUAAUGAAAAAAGCAUAACUUUAUUUAACUGGAAAUAUGUCACAAAAGCAUCACACAAAACAAUUAAAUUCAGUAA